CAGCAGGGAUAGCGAUCAGUGCAUUUUUUGCUUCUCACGGGAGUCAAAGGAAAUAAACAAGCGGGACAGGUUGCAGAGGGGCAGGUUUCCACCCAUCAAAGAGACAUUUGUGUGGCAAAGGGGCAGAAGAACAGAGACAGGAGUGAGGGAGAAGUGAGAGGACAUGGAAGUGACCCAGGCGUGGAGGACUGAUGGCUUUCAGAAUGACUAAAGGCGGUGGACCCUGUGCCUGCUGUGGAGAAGGACAAGAGCAGUGUUAACUGUUUAAAGACAGCAAAAGGAUGUGGGAUGCAUGUGACCCAUGCAGCGGGCCCUCUACCUAUGCAACCAUCCACAACCGGGGCAGUAAGGCUCAUUGACCUCAGCAAACCACCCUACUUCUGAUCCUGGAAAGUUACACCACCCUGAAGUCCUGUCACCUCAGAGCUCACUCUCUGAGGAGCUACUGCGUUGUUUGCUUCCAAUCACAGAGCCUCCAGAGCCAGUGAGAGAACAACCGGCGGUGUCGCUGUCUGUUUACUCCCCCUAAAUUUUGAUUUGCAGCUGUGGGUGUCGUUAUUUGAGGUGAUGGUUUUUGCAUGAUUGUUACAAGCUGGUAUUAGUAGUUAUUACAUGUUGUGUUGUUUUCACAUUAAUAAGUAAUGUAAGUGCUCAGACGGAUCUACAGUAUACGGUUUAUCUGAUGUUUUAUCUGGGCAACACAGUGGUUUGUACUGCUGCCUCACAGCAAGAAGGUGCCAGGUUCCAAUCCUGACCAGGGCCUUUCUGUGUGGAGUUUGCAUGUUCUCUGUGUGCCUACAUGUGUUUUGUCCAGAUACCUUCAUCCCACAGUCCAGACACAUGCAGGUUAGUUUAAUUGCUGACUCUAAAUUGCCCAUAGGCAUGAACGUGAGUGGUUGUCUUUCUUUAUGUGUCAGUCCUGUGAGAGACCAGUGCCCAGUCCAGGGUUUGCCCUGCCUCUCACCUAAGUGUAGGCUGGCAUUGCCUCCAGGCCCACCCCACCUAUCCACCCCCAGCCCCUGUGACCCUCUUCAGGAUGUUCACAUGCAUCUAAAGUACAA